AAGUGGAUGAACGUGUUUGCGCGAUCCAUUUUCUCUUAGGCUAUGCAUCUCCAAUUUUCGUAUUUUUCCUGGUUUUUUUGGUAAAUUAGGGUUCGAUGAUGAUGAUUUUUUUGCUUUAACCACACCGAAUUCGAAGACCUAAAUGGGAGAUUUCUCAAUUUCAUCUCUUUUUUUUUUUUCAAAUGCUCUUUUUGCUUGGUUUCAUCUUGUGAUCUCGCUUCCUCUUCCCGAAGAAGAUGAGGAUAUUUGCGUCUUCGUCUUCUUCGUGGAGAGGAGGGGAGUGAGGGCGAGAUUAAGCUUGGAGAGCAUGAGAUGGGAUGAGAUGAUCUCCUCUUUGUGGAGCUUUGCUAUGAGGAAAACCAUGGCCAUGAUACUGAGAACCCCUUUUUUUUUUGCGGGGGGGGCGGNUGAGAACCCCUUUUUUUUUGCGGGGGCGGGAUAAAAUUCACGCACACAAAUCCAAUUAUAUAUGUGUGAUUUGUAAAGGUACGCUUCUGAACUUUAUUUAUUUAUUUAUUUUAUUAUUUAUUCGGAUUUGUAAUUGCACUGCUUGAUUUGAAGGAUUCUAUAUGCUUAUUAAGUAAUCUUAUUUAAUUUUAUUUUAGAAUGUUAUGUAAAUUCAUAGAAUGUUUCGUAAUUGUUUAUGGAAAUCAUUAAUAAGGAGCUUCACAGUUUCGAUAUCGUCAAAUGUUGGUACAUUUAUCUUUCCUACUUGAAGCUCUAGUUUUUUUAUUUUUCAUGUAAAAAAUGAAUGUAGACAUUAACUCUAAGGGCUUGUUUGGUUGGUUCACCUAUUUCAGAUUAUGUAAUCGGAAUGAGAUUAAUUGAUUUCGAUAGUUAUUGUUUGUUUUACAAAGGUUGUAUUCCGAUUUUCUUUCCACUUUGGAAUGGGAAUCGCCCAAUCCAUUUAUGACCCAGUCCGGCUUUGAAUCCUAGAUUGGAGCAAACCACUUAAAAGGCCUCUCUAAAAAUUCUACAUGUCUCAAUUGUCCAGUCCGAUUUUCAUUUCAAUAAUGAAUCAAAUAUUUUUAGAUAAUUUGUCAUUCUAUUUUCCACUCCAAUGCAAUCCAAUUUCAUUUCUCAUUUCCAUUCCAAUCAUGAACUAAGCAUGCCCUAAUAAGUGAUUUUGAAAUAGUUCCCUUAACUGUUUUCAAUUGAAACCUUUUCGCCUUUUUUUCUUAUUGCAAUUAAUUGUUGCUUUUUUACGAAUUAGGGUUCAAUGAUGAUGAUUUGCUUUAACCACACCGAAUUCGAAGGCCUAAAGGGGAGAUUUCUCAAUUUCAUCUUUUUUUUUUUAGUGCUCUGCUUGCUUGGUUUCAUCUUGUGACCUCGCUUCCUCUUCUUGAAGAAGAUGAACAUAUUUACGUCUUCGUCUUCUUCAUUUAGAGGAGGGGAGUGAGGGUGAGACUAAGCUUGGAGAGCAUGAGAUGGGAUGGGAUGAUCUCUUCUUGUGGAGCUUUGUUGUGAGGAAAACUAUGGCCCAUAAUACUGAGAACCCUA
rnacentral:lncRNA from 1 species